GCCACCAUUAGCUCAGUCGGUAGAGCACCAGACUCUUGAUCUGGUUGUCGCGGGUUCGAGUCAUGAACCGUGUUGGCA